rnacentral:rRNA from 1 species
GACGAACGCUGGCGGCGUGCUUAACACAUGCAAGUGGUGCGACGAACCAGGCUUCGGCCUGGGGCAGAGCCGCGAACGGGUGAGUAACACGUGGGCAACCUGCCCUGUUGAUCGGGACAACCUGGGGAAACCCGGGCUAAUACCGAAUGUGGUGCCGGCUCAUGAGAGCCGUCACGAAAGGAAGCUUCGGCCUCCGCGACAGGAUGGGCCCGCGGCCCAUUAGCUUGUUGGUGGGGUAAUGGCCUACCAAGGCAACGAUGGGUAGCUGGUCUGAGAGGACGAUCAGCCACACUGGGACUGAGACACGGCCCAGACUCCUACGGGAGGCUGCAGUGGGGAAUCUUGCGCAAUGAGCGACAGCUUGACGCAGCAACGCCGCGUGGGGGAAGAAGGCUUUCGGGUCGUAAACCCCUUCCAGUUAGGACGAAGCUUUAUUGGUUAAUAACCAACUGGAGUGACGGUACUUUCAGAAGAAGCCCCGGCUAACUACGUGCCAGCAGCCGCGGUAA